rnacentral:rRNA from 1 species
AGAGUGAACGCUGGCGGUAGGCCUAACACAUGCAAGUCGAACGGCAGCACAGUAGGAGCUUGCUCUUACGGGUGGCGAGUGGCGGACGGGUGAGGAAUACAUCGGAAUCUACCUUUUGGUGGGGGAUAACGUAGGGAAACUUACGCUAAUACCGCAUACGCCCUUCGGGGGAAAGCCGGGGACCAGCAAUGGCCUGGCGCUGAUAGAUGAGCCGAUGUCGGAUUAGCUAGUUGGUGAGGUAAUGGCUCACCAAGGCGACGAUCCGUAGCUGGUCUGAGAGGAUGAUCAGCCACACUGGAACUGAGACACGGUCCAGACUCCUACGGGAGCAGCAGUGGGGAAUAUUGGACAAGUGGCGCAAGCCUGAUCCGAGUCCAUACCGCGUGGUAGAAGAAGGCCGUUGGUGUAAGCCGUUUAGUUAGG